rnacentral:misc_RNA from 1 species
CACAAAUCCAGCUGCUCCAAGCAUUGCCCAUCUUGCAUGAAUCAGCUCGUACGCCUGAUAUUUUUCGAAGUCCUGGGGUUUCUUGCUAAGUCCAAAGGGAUCAUAACCAUAAUCUCCAGGAACUUCUCCGGUCAAGUAUUCUGGNNGUCCAAGAGUCCUUCCGGCAAGAAAAUCCUUCUGUCUGGACCAUACCACUUAGCAAGCUCGUCGUUGGCUGGUGAAACAGCAGAAGGCUUGGGUUUGGAAGGUGGAGGAGCAGGCUUCUUCCUGGAGAAAAGAGCAACAGUCUUGAAAGUAGCAGGGUUUGAUGCAGUGGGAGCCGCUGCAGACCUGGUGGCAGAA